UACGUAGGGGGCUAGCGUUAUCCGGAAUUACUGGGCGUAAAGGGUGCGUAGGUGGUUUCUUAAGUCAGAUGUGAAAGGCUACGGCUCAACCGUAGUAAGCUCUUGAAACUGUAAGACUUGAGUGCAGGAGAGGAGAGUGGAAUUCCUAGUGUAGCGGUGAAAUGCGUAGAUAUUAGGAGGAACACCAGUUGCGAAGGCGGCUCUCUGGACUGUAACUGACGCUGAGGCACGAAAGCGUGGGGAGCAAACAGGAUUAGAUACCCCCGUAGUCCCU
rnacentral:rRNA from 1 species